GACGAACGCUGGCGGCGUGCUUAACACAUGCAAGUCGAACGGAAAGGCCCUGCUUUUGUGGGGUGCUCGAGUGGCGAACGGGUGAGUAACACGUGAGUAACCUGCCCUUGACUUUGGGAUAACUUCAGGAAACUGGGGCUCAUACCGGAUAGGAGCUCCUGCUGCAUGUUGGGGGUUGGAGAGUUUCGGCGGUUGGGGAUGGACUCGCGGAUUAUCCGCUUGUUGGUGGGGUAGUGGCUUACCAAGGCUGUGACGGGUAGCCGGCCUGAGAGGGUGGCCGGCCACAUUGGGACUGAGAUACGGCCAGGACUCCUACGGGAGGCAGAAGUGGGGAAUAUUGCACAAUGGGCGGAAGCCUGAUGCAGCAACGCCGCGGGCGGGAUGACGGCUUUCGGGUGGUAAACCGAUUUGGCCUGUGACGAAGCGUGAGUGACGGUAAUGGGUAAAGAAGCACCGGCUAACUACGUG
rnacentral:rRNA from 1 species